GGAUUACCCUGCGCUAUUGUCAUGGAGACGGGAAGCCAGAAGCAGCAUUGGCGGGUCCUGCGGGCCAAGAGGGUUGCGGGCCCGCAGAGACUAGAGCGAAGCGAAGCGGCCUGGAUGGCUAAAAUAUGGAAAAGCGUGGAGCCGGCCACUGGCGGUCGCUCCGGCUCACCCUCUUGUGCUCGGCGCAGGCCCAGGUCGCGGCAAGGAGCACUCUGGAACGUCCCCGCCUUGCUGUCUCGGCUCCCGCCUCCCGCGGCCGCGCAGCGCCUCCUCACCCGCCUCGGGCUCCGCCUGCUGCCGCUGCAGCAAGUCGCUCUAACGGUCGGUGGCAGCCCGCGUGCGCCGCCCUCCGGGGGCUCGCGCCUGCCACGAGGGAGCGUCCGCGCUGCAGAGGUGAACCGCUGCCGAGCCGGGUCCCCUGCCUGCCGCCCGGCCCGCCUCCGCUCGGGAACAACGUCUGCGUCCCCUUGCGGGCAGGCAGGAUGCGACUUGGCUCCGCGCGUGGGCCGCACGAGCGUCCGGGUGACCCGCCUCUGUGGGUGUCGCUGUCAGCCGGCUGGCUCGCGUGGGCGUGUCUUCCUGGUUCACGAGUGUUCUAUCACUGUCGGCUUUCGUCCGGGACGACGGUUUCAGAAAUGGAGCCAUGGAGGUGAUAAGUAUGAUGCCUGUGUAAUACAUUUGGAUGUUUCCCACUAAGUUCACUUUCUAACCAUGAAGUUCUUCCAAAUGGUGGCCGACAUUUGCUUAGUACAUCCCAAGGGUCAUCUGCAAUCCAUAGUUCACCACGGCUGCUGUACUGGCUGUUGGAAGGAGGAGAUUCAGAAGAUAGGGAGCUGAAAUGAAUCUGCGAGGUUCUGGGUGUAGAAGGUCCGCCUCAGGAUUGUUGCCAACAGCAUGAAAAGACAACUGCAGGGGAAGAUGGGGUGCCGUUGAUUCUCCUGGAGAAGCUUGUCACGCUGGUGUUCCUGAUGUGAACUCAGCUGUUAUCACUGGAGGAGCUCAGGUCCUCGCUGUCGCAGGAUGGCUGUGAUUCUUUUCAGGAGAGCUUUGGGCCUUACCUUGAGCAUUGCUUCUUGGCUCCAGUGCGGAUUCCUCAGCCUCCUGGCACAGGUCCUUUAUCUCACUAGCCCAGACUCUAGCCUCCACUAUGGACCUUUGGGGCCUCCCAGCACAGAUCCUUGAUACAGACUUGCAUGACACAUUGUCAUGGGCUCUGGGUCUCCAGCUGGACUCAUAGAGGAUGUUGCCAUGUGCUCUACACUUCCAGCCGGACUUGUGGACAACAUUACUGUGGGAUCCAGACACUCAGAUGGAUUCCUUGGGUCUUUAGUGUGUGGACAGAUCUCCUGUACUCUUCUACAUUUGACUUUUUGAGGUUUAUUAUAAAAUAAACCUAUAAAUCAUGUGUCCUCUAUUAAUCUUUUCCCUUAUAAACCCUGACUACAACACAAGAUUUAAGUAUAAUACGUGUUUUGAACUCAAAUCACAAGACAUUUUUCUUGCCCCUCCCCCCUCAGCUCCCAUGGUUCCUGAGGUAUUCUGCUUAAAUGGUUAUGUUUUGAUCUGCGCUGUUUCGUUGUUAUGCCCUCUUUUAUCUCAAUCUCCACUCCAUUAUUUACUUUUUUAUCUUUAUCCUUUUAAUCAAAGGAAAAAAAUAGCAGGAUAUAUUAUAGUAACCCACUUUGACUUUUCAUUACCUUGAUUUAAAGCCCUGUAUUACUCUCACCAUCUGGUUUUUAACUGAUGUUCCCCUAUUCUGUUUUGCUGGAUAGUAUCAGGUUCGAAAGUUUAGGCAUCAGCUGUGAAGAUAAUGAGAUUAAUUAUGACGCCCAUUCUUGUUGACUUUUAUCUACUUUUGAAGACCUACAAUGUCUCCAAUGUUUUGGUUUUGUCGGUUUUAUUCUUUACUGCUUUGUUCAAUUGUAUUAUAACUAACGAUAUAGGCAAUUCUAUUAGAGAUAGCGGGAGGCAUUAUGGUAACCAUUGUUGAUCACCUUGUAUUAUGUUUUUACAUUAUCUAUUAUGUCCACCCUUUUGACUUGACCGAUUCUGUUCUGUUAUGUCACAUUUGGUUUUACUCUCUUCCAAAAAAGUAAUAAGAACCGUGGGAGCAAUGAAACCUAAAAUGUGUAACAGUCAUGGUACAAAAGAGAGGAAAAGAAAGUGCUCCAAACUAUAUAACUGCAUGUAUAUUUAAGUGUAUAAGAUAGAAAAUGAUAUCACAGAGUUUUAUUGGAUCAAUGAACAGAACUGUUUGCAGUAUCAUUGAUGGAAUGUCCACUUUACAAGCUUUAAUUUUGUGACUUGAACAAUUAUUUCUAAGAUGACAAUAUGUAAUCCAUUAACUAGUGAUUUCCUACUGUUCAUUUUUUUCUGUAAAUCUGUAUAACUUGUACCCUUUCUCUGCUUUUUUUUUCUUUUCUCCUUAAAUAAAAUUUAAAAAAAAAAAAAAAAAAAAAGAAAGAUUAUGGAACGGAAGGAACCCACUGAAGUAACUAUAUCUCAUAUCCUGGGGCUGUUUUGCAAACUGCCACAUGUGGCCCAGUGUAUUAAGUCACUAAACAUUUCUGCUUGCUGGCACCACCAGUGGGCCCUCACCUCCUACAGAGCUCCUUUAGGCUUCAAAACACCUUGCCAGGCUGUGGAAAGAAGGGAACGGGAGAGGGCCUUUACUUAACCACCUGUACUCACGUUCCAUAUGGGACCUUUCUGGUUAUUAAAACCAUGUAAGAGACAAAGGAAAGCGGAAUUCGAGGCGUUUCUCCAGAAAGUCUGAUAUUUGAAUGAGAUUGCAUUCUCCUAGAAGCAGUAUUUUUAAAAGCAUAACUAACUAUAAUUUCAUAUGGGAACAUACAAAUGUCUGAGGAUGUCAGUAUGCUGAUAGGUUUAGGAAGGGCCUUUGCACUGGGCUGUAUCCCUGUAUCUUUAUUUUGAGACAGGGUCUUGCUGAGCUGCUACAUUGUCAGGCUGGUCUUGAACUUUGGGGCCCAGAGUACUGAGAUUAAAAGCCUCUGGCCUUUAAAUUUUUUUUUUUUUUUUUUUUGCCUAUUCUGUUAAGAGUUUUCAGAAUUGAAGAGUUUUUAAAGUCUUCUACAUAGUUUUUAAAAAUAAGCCAUCAUAAGCAUUAUUUUGUUCUGCUUUUAUAUUUUGGAAGAAAUUUUUAAGACAUAUAAUUAAUUACUUUAAAUCUGCAAAUUUUGGCAGAAUUUUAGGACGGUACAAAAGGUUACUGCAUAAGCAAAACUACUCCAACAAGCUUAAUAGAAAUGUGAUCAUAAUUGGUUAGAUUAAGUGAAUUGAAGUAGCUGAUUUGUAGUCUAAAAUGUAGUCAGAUAUGCAUUGUAUUGUGUACAAGAACUACAAUACCAAAUUUUAUAUGGUUGUGCUAAUGCCUAUAAGCCCAGCACACUGGGAGGCUGAGGCAAGACUAUUGAAAAUUUGAGUCCAGCCUGGAAAAUUUAGUGACUUUGUAAGACCUUUUUCAAAACAAAACAAGGGCUGGAAAUGUAUAUCAGAGUUCAAACCCCAGGUUCAGUCCCCUAGCACUGCAAAACAAAGCAAAGUCAAACCAAACUAAGCCAAAACCAAAAAAACACUAUAAUGGUAUGUUUAUUACACUAGGAACUUACUCUGUUCCUGCUGCAGUGAUACAGACAGUGCCUUGAAUAAGGCUUAUUUGUGAUGAUCUUGGGAGAAAAGCCUCCCUUUCAACAACACCUUCCUGCCUUUUGUGGUUUUCCCAAGGUGAUGCCAAACUUGGUUUUAGUCAGUUUCUCUCUCACUGUCUUUCUCUCCUAACCCAUAGGGUGGACUGUGGUGGGAGUUGAGCUGGCAGUUUUUGUGUAGAAAGCUAUUUGACCCAUUUGGGGCUUACUCCUGGAGUCUUGGACUUCUCAGCAU